rfam:Brochothrix campestris FSL F6-1037 rep_c120, whole genome shotgun sequence.
GAGGAGCAUCGCUGGGUAGCUAUGUGUGGAAGGGAUAAACGCUGAAAGCAUCUAAGCGUGAAGCCCCCCUCGAGAUGAGAUUUCCCAUCACUUUAUGUGAGUAAGACCCUGAGAGACGAUCAGGUUGAUAGGUUCGGAGUGGAAGUGCAGCGAUGUACGGAGCGGACGAAUACUAAUAGGUCGAGGACUUAACCUU